CAGCAUGUUCCAGGAUAUCAUUGUAAAAAAGAAUAUAGUCAGCUGUGGCAUGAAAGGCAGAAAAAGACAUUUUUUAUUUUUCUAAAUCUUUAGGUUACUAUUUGUUUGCCAAGAUUACAGCAUUUUAGUGAUUAUUAGUGAUUUAGGGUACUAGUGGUAUUCUACAAGUUACUGCUUUUAACCCCAAAUGGCUUCGGGGGCUUGUAACUUUGAGGCAGAUCAUAGCAAGACCAAGAUUUUCUGUGAAGCAGACUCUUCCGAGAGGUGUCCCUCACCUCUCUGUGGGAAUGACUAGGGAGAAUGGCCACAAAAUGGAAAAAAAACCCAAAAAACAGGAAGAAUUAUCUCUAGAUAAGGAAGUAAGGAGAAGAUCAGAGAACUCUGCUAUGGAACAAGAAAACAGAUACUCAAGUGAAGCAUGGUGCAGUGGCAUGCACAGAAAUGGUUGUGUGGGACCUGGCAGACCAGAUGAAGGCACUAAGGGCUAAUGAGCAGCAAUGAACUAGAUAAAUGGGUUAAUUACCUUUAUCUAGAGAGCCCUUCCAUUUAAGGCUGAAGGAGUGAAGUAAUAUUUCCUGGCUUUGAAUGCAGAAAGCCCCUGAGAAAUUUGGGCUAAAGUAGACAAUGCUACUCGGCCCUUCAGGGGAAGUGACAAGGACUCACAAGCAAAGGGGAGCUGAAGGAUCGUCAAAAAAAGCUCCAUCAGGUCUGAAAGCAUUCUGUUUUCUCUCCGUCCAUGAGGAAGGAAACUUCUUGUGGUCCUGCUGAGGUAUGCUGGGAUGGGUAUGUGAAAACAGAAGGAGCAAGAACACAAAAAACAAGCUGCUGGUGGUGAAUGUUUUCCCUGAGGAAAGGGAAGGCCAUAUGGGAAGGACAGGAGUGGUGGAAACUUG